GCGCAAAUGGUUUAGUGGUAAAAUCCAUCGUUGCCAUCUUCUUCACAACCUUCUGGGUUCGUGAUUCGGACUGAUUCGAUGGGCCCCCGGUUCGAUUCCGGGUUUGCGCA